GGGCUGGGGCUCAGUGGUAGAGUGCUUGCCUAGCAUGCAUGAGGCACUGGGUUCAAUUCUCAGCACCACA
rnacentral:tRNA from 1 species